rnacentral:rRNA from 1 species
UAAUUAGUAAAAUUAAAAAUUUUUUUUAUGAAUUAGGCAAAUAAUGUUUUCCCCUGUUUAUCAAAAACAUCUCUUUAAGUAUUUAUUUAAAGUAUAACCUGCUCAAUGAUUAUUUAAAUAGCCGCGGUAAUUUAACUGGGCUAAGGUAGCAUAAUAAUUAGUCUUUUAAUUGAGGUCUGGAAUGAAGGGUUGGACAAAAAAUUAACUUUAUUAUUUAUAUUUUUUUGAAUUUUAUUUUUUAGUUAAAAAGCUUAAAUGUUAAAGAGGGACGAUAAGACCCCAUAGAUCUUUAAUUUAAUUUUGUUUUUAAAAUUUUAGUUGUUUUAUUUUUUAUUCAAAAUUUAAUUUUAGUUGGGGCGAUGAAAAAACUUUUAAUCUUUUUUUUUUUUUCACAAUUAUUUUUGGUUUUUUGAUCCUUAAUUUUGAUUAUAAGAUAAAGAUACCUUAGGGAUAACAGCGUUAUUUAAUUGGAGAGUUCUUAUUGAUAAUUAAGUUUGCGACCUCGAUGUUGGAUUAAAAAUUUUUGUGGGGUAGGUUCUACAAAUUAAUAUCUGUCGACCGAGGGG